rnacentral:rRNA from 1 species
GAUGAACGCUGGCGGCGUGCCUAAUACAUGCAAGUCGAGCGAACAGACGAGGAGCUUGCUCCUCUGACGUUAGCGGCGGACGGGUGAGUAACACGUGGAUAACCUACCUAUAAGACUGGGAUAACUUCGGGAAACCGGAGCUAAUACCGGAUAACAUGUUGAACCGCAUGGUUCAACAGUGAAAGACGGUCUUGCUGUCACUUAUAGAUGGAUCCGCGCCGCAUUAGCUAGUUGGUAAGGUAACGGCUUACCAAGGCAACGAUGCGUAGCCGACCUGAGAGGGUGAUCGGCCACACUGGAACUGAGACACGGUCCAGAGUCCUACGGGAGGCAGCAGUAGGGAAUCUUACGCAGUGGGCGAAAGCCUGACGGAGCAACGCCGCGUGAGUGAAGAAGGUCUUCGGAUCGUAAAACUCUGUUAUUAGGGAAGAACAAAUGUGUAAGUAACUAUGCACGUCUUGACGGUACCUAAUCAGAAAGCCACGGCUAACUACGUG